UACGGAGGGUGCAAGCAUUAAUCGGAUUUAUUGGGCGUAAAGGGCGCGUAGGCGGGGAUGUAAGUCAGAUGUGAAAUCCCGGGGCUCAACCUCGGAACAGCAUUUGAAACUACAUUUCUUGAGGGUAGGAGGAGAAAACGGAAUUCCACAUGUAGCGGUGAAAUGCGUAGAUAUGUGGAAGAACACCAGUGGCGAAGGCGGUUUUCUAUCUUAUACCUGACGCUAAAGCGCGAAAGCAAGGGGAUCAAACAGG
rnacentral:rRNA from 1 species